CCUACACUUGGGCUCUUAAUUUUCCUGAAAUCAACUCUAUGAGCCUCAUGUACGACCCUUAUGAAAAAUACUUGACAAAUCCUAAUUACCUAAAAUAAUCGAUCUACGAUCAAUCUCCGUUUCAUCUUCUUUCAAUCUCUGUUACCCAUCCUCCUCUGCAAUCAAUCGUUUGCUUUAAUUCCCUCUUUAUUAUUUCCUUUCACCUCCCUUUCUUUCUUAUUUUUUCAUAAACUCUUUCUUCUUAGCUUGCUUACACAUCAAAACCAGAAAAUCUCAUCUCACUAAGCUCAACCGGAAAAUCUCCUGUCGCUUUGUAUUUCACAUCUCACCAAGUCUAUCUCGAUCCGAGUUUACGAUUCCGACUCAUACAUUUCUUGGAGGCGAAAAAUGCAGCAAAGGAGGGAGCUCUAUUGGACUGGAUAUUCUCAUCACCGACGAACAGCGCACAGUGAUGCCAGGGUUCAUAUCAUCAAGCCGUUUUCAACGAUACUUGAAUUGCAGUAUCGUACUUAUUUUAACCAGAAAAUAAAACCUUUCUUUCUUGAAGUUUUGUACCUCUUUAAGAAGAACUUCACUAGAGUUUCUAUCUCUCUUUCUGAACACUUUGUUCUUGAAAACAUGGCUUAUGAUAAGGCUGCGAUAAGCUUUAAUGGUAGGGAAACAGUAACCAAAUUCGAGCUGAGUUCAUACCAGAAUGAGAUUAACUCUGAGACCAGCAACCAAGGUGGCCAUGACAAGCUUGAUCUCAGCUUGGGAAUGUCACUUUCCCCCGGGAAUGCGUCAAAGCAAAACGGAAGGCUCUUUCAUUACCCUUAAUACUUAUGAGAUUCAUCGUGGAGUUGGUUUAACGGUUUUUGGAGGUUAAUGACACUGGAAAAACACAUGCUUCGUACUAUAUAUAUAUAUAUAGGUUAUGCUUUUCACAUGGAGUUUAAGUAAGGUGGAAAACGCCACUGAGAUCUUUAAUCUCAGAAUAUCUAGGUUGUAAUUAGCAGCUUAGCCACAAACAAAUUGAUCACCUUAAAGGAUCACUUCUCCAUUUAGCUUAACGUUGGACAUCUUGAUCCUGAUGGUAUCUACACUGGCCAGUUCGCCACACUCCCCUCUGCGUAUUUGUCUGUGCCCAGAUUUGUCAUAGUUCUCAACUAAUCUACGUUAGAUUUACUUUUUCAUCAUCUCAGAUCUUAGUUUAGUCUUCCAUAAUUGUAUUUUUAGCAAAAAGUACGAUUGUGUUGGUCUUUCAACGUUUUCAUUCUUAUGAAACAUAACGAUGAUACUAAAAAUGUUUGUUUAAGUAGUUGUUUCUAAAUAAUUAUUUCUAUAAAA